AGUAAGGGUAGUGCCGAACAUGUGCCGCCAUUUGACAUCCUACUAGUACUGUAAACAGCUGUGGAGAUGUUUUUCUUAGCCUAGCUACUAGACUAAGCUACAGCGUUGCAGUGAGCUACACUGGUUUGAAACCAUAGGGCCGACUUGCAGCGCAUUGGACAUGCCCUCUUAGGGGUGGGGUGUAUAUAUACGCCGUUUCCCCCCGACUGAGUAAAUAGUUUGAAUUGUUUUGCGCGUGAUGCCCGUGGUUGUCUGUCGCUGGACGAACACAGCGACAUAGGAAGACCUGAUUGCAGACUACGUGUCGUGUUUGUGCUGGUGCAUUGGCCGUUCUGUAAUUCGUAAGCAUAGUUUCUGACCACUGUUUUAACCAUGAAAAGUUGUCAUUGUGAAUAUUAUGUGCAAGUAUUCAUGUCUUGUGUUUUAUCCAGGAAAUAGGGUGACCACUGUUUUCCCUUACCUUUAUUUGUUUGUAAUUGUAGGUUGUGAGAGCCACCAACACAUUUCUUUUGGGUCGUUGUUUCCUUUUGUUUGUAUGAAUGUGUGUUAUUUUUAGUUAACUGCCAUCUGGGUGCUACCAACCUUCUGGAUGUAUUAGGCCUAGUGUAACCUUUGUGAUUGCCUCCGACAUCUUGCUGUGUGCUCAGAUCCCCAAACACAUUUGUGUGGAGUGUGUCUAAAUUUGUUUUAUCACGUUGUUCUGGAUUCUGUGUUAGCCUACUUGCAUUGACUGAUUUGUGAUUUGCAGUGUUAUAAUCCAGAUCGUGUUGAUUGUGUGGAAGAAAUUGCGAUCUCCUGUGUGCUUACAUUAUUCACUAAUCAAUAAAAGUAGUCAUUGGAUACUAGUUAGUAUGUUCUCAGGUAAGCGU